CACCAACCGGCACGGGUCGGCGCGGCGCAGCGUUGACGUCACCGUCGAGUGAGUGCCACAUCCACGCUGUGGCCAAAGUGGAGAUGCCAUGGCUCUACCAAGUUGGGAAUGUGGUGACCCUACCAUGACCAAACCAGGGAUGCCGUGAACACCCAGGAACACUGUGACCGUGCCGGUGCCGCCGUCAGUGCCAUCAUGGUUCCCCUUCCUCCCCUCAGACCAACCCAGCAUUGGCGAUGCCGACUGCCCAGCGCGGCGGCUGUGGGUGGAGGGCACAGCGGCGGAGCUGGAAUGCAACGCCAGUGGGAAUCCCCCCCCCAGUGUAGCUUGCUCCAAACUGGGGGACCCCCACGCCCCCCCUGGCAGUGCCAAUGUCACCCGUGCCCACGCCGGCACCUACCAAUGCCAGGCCACCAACGUGCAUGGCACGGCACUGCAGAAUGUCACCAUCACUGUGGAGUACAGCCCCGCAGCCCUCACCCUCCGCGUGCUGCCGUCCCCCAACGUGAGCCGCGGCGGCAGCUUCAGCGUGGAGUGCGGCGCCGAGGGG